UGAUGGCGUGGGGCGUGGGCUUGGGCUUGCGGUGAGCGUGAGUGAAAAUGGACAUGUUUGUUGUUUGUCAGUAGUUGUAAUUUGUGAAGUUGCAUAUCUGCAGACAUAUUCUCCCAAAAAAUGAAUCUAUAAUCAAGCUACUGAUUACAUAAACAUGUAAUUGUGUCGUCGAUAAAAAUGAAUCAAGAAACAGUUAACAUACACAAGUAAAGGACAUAAUGUGUUGUUUUCGAACUAACAGAAAAACAUACUGACCUACCAUACAAUAUUUAAACUUCUAUUAAGCAGUAACUGCUGUUGUUUUUGCGAGGAAUUGUUGAUUUAAAUCUUAAAAACAUCACGGCAUCAAAAAUUCAUUUUACCCAAAAUAUGGACUUAUAUUGUUUUCGAAAUGGCUGAUUCAAUAUUACACCCAGGUUACGAGCAGACGCAGUGUCACAAUGUCUGGAAACAUAUACAUGGAUUUUUGGUUAUUAAGGAGAGCUUACAAACACCUCAU
rnacentral:lncRNA from 1 species